GAUCAUGGCUCAGGAUGAACGCUAGCUACAGGCUUAACACAUGCAAGUCGAGGGGCAGCAUGGUCUUAGCUUGCUAAGACCGAUGGCGACCGGCGCACGGGUGAGUAACGCGUAUCCAACCUGCCGAUAACUCGGGGAUAGCCUUUCGAAAGAAAGAUUAAUAUCCGAUGGUAUAUUAAAACCGCAUGGUUUUACUAUUAAAGAAUUUCGGUUAUCGAUGGGGAUGCGUUCCAUUAGUUUGUUGGCGGGGUAACGG
rnacentral:rRNA from 1 species